rnacentral:rRNA from 1 species
GCCUGAUGCAGCGACGCCGCGUGAGGGAUGACGGCCUUCGGGUUGUAAACCUCUUUCGACAGGGACGAAGCGCAAGUGACGGUACCUGUAGAAGAAGCACCGGCCAACUACGUGCCAGCAGCCGCGGUAAUACGUAGGGUGCGAGCGUUGUCCGGAAUUACUGGGCGUAAAGAGCUUGUAGGCGGUUCGUCGCGUCGUUCGUGAAAACUUGGGGCUCAACCCCAAGCUUGCGGGCGAUACGGGCGGACUAGAGUACUUCAGGGGAGACUGGAAUUCCUGGUGUAGCGGUGAAAUGCGCAGAUAUCAGGAGGAACACCGGUGGCGAAGGCGGGUCUCUGGGAAGUAACUGACGCUGAGAAGCGAAAGCGUGGGUAGCGAACAGGAUUAGAUACCCUGGUAGUCCACGCCGUAAACGGUGGGUACUAGGUGUGGGUUUCCUUCCACGGGAUCCGUGCCGUAGCUAACGCAUUAAGUACCCCGCCUGGGGAGUACGGCCGCAAGGCUAAAACUCAAAGGAAUUGACGGGGGCCCGCACAAGCGGCGGAGCAUGUGGAUUAAUUCGAUGCAACGCGAAGAACCUUACCUGGGUUUGACAUACACCGGAAACCUGCAGAGAUGUAGGCCCCCUUGUGGUCGGUGUACAGGUGGUGCAUGGCUGUCGUCAGCUCGUGUCGUGAGAUGUUGGGUUAAGUCCCGCAACGAGCGCAACCCUUAUCUUAUGUUGCCAGCGCGUAAUGGCGGGGACUCGUGAGAGACUGCCGGGGUCAACUCGGAGGAAGGUGGGGACGACGUCAAGUCAUCAUGCCCCUUAUGUCCAGGGCUUCACACAUGCUACAAUGGCCGGUACAGAGGGCUGCGAUACCGUGAGGUGGAGCGAAUCCCUUAAAGCCGGUCUCAGUUCGGAUCGGGGUCUGCAACUCGACCCCGUGAAGUUGGAGUCGCUAGUAAUCGCAGAUCAGCAACGCUGCGGUGGAAUACGUUCCUGGGCCUUGUACACACCGCCCGUCACGUCAUGAAGUCGGUACACCGAAGCCGGUGGCCUAACCCUUGUGGAAGGGAGCGUCG